AAAUUGAAGAGUUUGAUCAUGGCUCAGAUUGAACGCUGGCGGCAGGCCUAACACAUGCAAGUCGAACGGUAACAGGAAGCAGCUUGCUGCUUCGCUGACGAGUGGCGGACGGGUGAGUAAUGUCUGGGAAACUGCCUGAUGGAGGGGGAUAACCACUGGAAACGGUAGCUAAUACCGCAUAACGUCGCAAGACCAAAGAGGGGGACCUUCGGGCCUCUUGCCAUCGGAUGUGCCCAGAUGGGAUUAGCUUGUUGGUGGGGUAACGGCUCACC
rnacentral:rRNA from 1 species